GUUGAAGCGGCAGCGGCGAGCAUGGAGGUUGCAGUUACACGCUGCGAAGACAGGAGGGACGUUUUUCAGAGAGGUGCUGCACCUUCAGAGUCGGCUGCGACUCCAACCUCUGGAAACGAGGAGCUGCUGCGGCAGCUGGGAGUUCAGCGACAUGCGAACUAACCUGCCUCUCUGUCUCCACGACGUUCCUCUGGUGAUCAACGGUGAGAAUGUUGUUGUGCUAACAUGUGACCACAUUACCGCAGCGACACACACAAUGGCAUUUAAAGGUGACCCAAUAAUGUUUUCCUGAACAGUUUAGGAUCUCUGUAUGGCCUAUUCAAAACAUGUUCAUCACUGUUUUUUGCAUAAAAUCAUUCUUAGAUAAUGA